UGGGGAAUAUUGCACAAUGGGGGAAACCCUGAUGCAGCAACGCCGCGUGAAGGAAGACGGUUUUCGGAUUGUAAACUUCUGUUCUUAGUGAAGAAUAAUGACGGUAGCUAAGGAGCAAGCCACGGCUAACUACGUGCCAGCAGCCGCGGUAAUACGUAGGUGGCAAGCGUUGUCCGGAAUUACUGGGUGUAAAGGGAGCGCAGGCGGGAGACCAAGUCAGCUGUGAAAAGCUACGGGCUUAACCUGUAGACUGCAGUUGAAACUGGUUUUCUUGAGUGAAGUAGAGGUUGGCGGAAUUCCGAGUGUAGCGGUGAAAUGCGUAGAUAUUCGGAGGAACACCGGUGGCGAAGGCGGCCAACUGGGCUUUAACUGACGCUGAGGCUCGAAAGUGUGGGAGCAAACAGGAUUAGAUACC
rnacentral:rRNA from 1 species